CCUACGGGAGGCAGCAGUGGGGGAUAUUGCACAAUGGGGGAAACCCUGAUGCAGCGACGCCGCGUGUGGGAAGACGGUCCUCUGGAUUGUAAACCACUGUCCCCAGGGACGAAGAUGACGGUACCUGGGGAGGAAGCUCCGGCUAACUACGUGCCAGCAGCCGCGGUAAUACGUAGGGAGCGAGCGUUGUCCGGAAUUACUGGGUGUAAAGGGAGCGUAGGCGGGGAUGCAAGUUGGGUGUCAAAACUACCGGCUCAACUGGAAGUCGCACUCAAAACUGCAGCUCUUGAGUGAAGUAGAGGCAGGCGGAAUUCGUGGUGUAGCGGUGAAAUGCAUAGAUAGCACGCAGAACCCCGAUUGCGAAGGCAGCCUUCCGGCGCCCUACUGACGCUGAGGCACGAAAGUGCGGGGAUCGAACAGGAUUAGAUACCCUUGUAGUC
rnacentral:rRNA from 1 species